rnacentral:rRNA from 1 species
CCUACGGGUGGCUGCAGUGGGGAAUUUUGCGCAAUGGGGGAAACCCUGACGCAGCAACGCCGCGUGGGUGAUGAAGGCCCUUGGGUCGUAAAGCCCUGUCGGGUGGGAAGAAUCCCUUGGCGGCGAAUAGUCGCCAAGGAUGACGGUACCACUAGAGGAAGCACCGGCUAACUCUGUGCCAGCAGCCGCGGUAAUACAGAGGGUGCAAGCGUUGUUCGGAAUCACUGGGCGUAAAGCGCGUGUAGGCGGCGAAAGCCCUCGGCUUAACCGAGGAAGUGAACUCGAAACUGGUCGGCUUGAGUACCGGAGAGGAAGGUGGAAUUCCCGGUGUAGAGGUGAAAUUCGUAGAUAUCGGGAGGAACACCAGUGGCGAAAGCGACCUUCUGGACGGAUACUGACGCUGAGACGCGAAAGCGUGGGGAGCAAACAGGAUUAGAUACCCGAGUAGUC